rnacentral:rRNA from 1 species
GAUGAACGCUAGCUACAGGCUUAACACAUGCAAGUCGAGGGACCGGCGCACGGGUGAGUAACACGUAUCAAACCUGCCCUUUACUCGGGGAUAGCCUUUCGAAAAAAAGAUUAAUACCCGAUGUAAAGGAUGGGGAUGCGUUCCAUUAGGUUGUUGGUGAGGUAACGGCUCACCAAGCCUUCGAUGGAUAGGGGUUCUGAGAGGAAGGUCCCCCAGAUUGGAACUGGGACACGGUCCAAACGCGUAGUGGAGGCAGCAGUGAUGAAUAUUGGUCAAUGGGCCUUAGCCUGAACCAGCCAAGUAGCGUGAAGGAUGAAGGCUUAUGGGUCGUAAACUUCUUGUAUAUAAGAAUAUGUAUUAUAUGAAUAAGGAUCGGCUAACUCCGUGCCAGCAGCCGCGGUAAUUC